UACGGAGGGAGCUAGCGUUGUUCGGAAUUACUGGGCGUAAAGCGCGCGUAGGCGGCAAUGUAAGUUAGAGGUGAAAGCCCGGGGCUCAACCCCGGAACAGCCUUUAAGACUGCAUCGCUAGAAUCCGGGAGAGGUGAGUGGAAUUCCGAGUGUAGAGGUGAAAUUCGUAGAUAUUCGGAAGAACACCAGUGGCGAAGGCGGCUCACUGGACCGGUAUUGACGCUGAGGUGCGAAAGCGUGGGGAGCAAACAGG
rnacentral:rRNA from 1 species